rnacentral:rRNA from 1 species
GAUGAACGCUGGCGGCGUGCCUAAUACAUGCAAGUCGAGCGAACAGACGAGGAGCUUACUCCUCUGACGUUAGCGGCGGACGGGGGAGUAACACGUGGAUAACCUACCUAUAAGACUGGGAUAACUUCGGGAAACCGGAGCUAAUACCGGAUAACAUGUUGAACCGCAUGGUUCAACAGUGAAAGACGGUCUUGCUGUCACUUAUAGAUGGAUCCGCGUCGCAUUAGCUAGUUGGUAAGGUAACGGCUUACCAAGGCAACGAUGCGUAGCCGACCUGAGAGGGUGAUCGGCCACACUGGAACUGAGACACGGUCCAGACUCCUACGGGAGGCAGCAGUAGGGAAUCUUCCGCAAUGGGCGAAAGCCUGACGGAGCAACGCCGCGUGAGUGAAGAAGGUCUUCGGAUCGUAAAACUCUGUUAUUAGGGAAGAACAAAUGUGUAAGUAACUAUGCACGUCUUGACGGUACCUAAUCAGAAAGCCACGGCUAACUACGUG